AUCACUUCUCAGCCUUUUGGCUAAGACCAAGUAUAGUAUCUGUUCUUAUCAGUAAAAGGGAAUACAUAAAAUACAUAAAUACACAAGAGAAAAACAUAA
ensembl:snRNA U2 U2 spliceosomal RNA